rnacentral:lncRNA from 1 species
GGAGCACUUCUUCAAGCGGGCGGUGCGCGCGGAGCCGGCGGACGCGGAGGCGAUGGGGCGGUACGCGGCGUUCCUGUGGCAGGCGCGCAACGACCUCGCGGCCGCGGAGGAGACGUACCAGGAGGCCAUCGCCGCCGACCCCGGCAACGCGCACCACGCGGCGGCCUACGCGCACUUCCUGUGGAACACUGGCGGUGAGGACACAUGCUACCCCCUCGACUGAUGCCGCCGCUACCGUGCAACACAGAUCAUCGGUGCCUCCCAUAAAACCCAAACACAAAAAG